rnacentral:rRNA from 1 species
UUGAUUUNGGNYGCCAACGAGUGGCGGACGGGUGAGUAACACGUAGGUAANCUGCCCAGAAGCGGGGGACAACAUUUGGAAACAGAUGCUAAUACCGCAUAACARCGUUGUUCGCAUGAACAACGCUUAAAAGAUGGCUUCUCGCUAUCACUUCUGGAUGGACCUGCGGUGCAUUAGCUUGUUGGUGGGGUAACGGCCUACCAAGGCGAUGAUGCAUAGCCGAGUUGAGAGACUGAUCGGCCACAAUGGGACUGAGACACGGCCCAUACUCCUACGGGAGGCAGCAGUAGGGAAUCUUCCACAAUGGGCGCAAGCCUGAUGGAGCAACACCGCGUGAGUGAAGAAGGGUUUCGGCUCGUAAAGCUCUGUUGUUAAAGAAGAACACGUAUGAGAGUAACUGUUCAUACGUUGACGGUAUUUAACCAGAAAGUCACGGCUAACUACGUGCCAGCAGCCGCGGUAAUACGUAGGUGGCAAGCGUUAUCCGGAUUUAUUGGGCGUAAAGAGAGUGCAGGCGGUUUUCUAAGUCUGAUGUGAAAGCCUUCGGCUUAACCGGAGAAGUGCAUCGGAAACUGGAUAACUUGAGUGCAGAAGAGGGUAGUGGAACUCCAUGUGUAGCGGUGGAAUGCGUAGAUAUAUGGAAGAACACCAGUGGCGAAGGCGGCUACCUGGUCUGCAACUGACGCUGAGACUCGAAAGCAUGGGUAGCGAACAGGAUUAGAUACCCUGGUAGUCCAUGCCGUAAACGAUGAGUGCUAGGUGUUGGAGGGUUUCCGCCCUUCAGUGCCGGAGCUAACGCAUUAAGCACUCCGCCUGGGGAGUACGACCGCAAGGUUGAAACUCAAAGGAAUUGACGGGGGCCCGCACAAGCGGUGGAGCAUGUGGUUUAAUUCGAAGCUACGCGAAGAACCUUACCAGGUCUUGACAUCUUGCGCCAACCCUAGAGAUAGGGCGUUUCCUUCGGGAACGCAAUGACAGGUGGUGCAUGGUCGUCGUCAGCUCGUGUCGUGAGAUGUUGGGUUAAGUCCCGCAACGAGCGCAACCCUUGUUACUAGUUGCCAGCAUUAAGUUGGGCACUCUAGUGAGACUGCCGGUGACAAACCGGAGGAAGGUGGGGACGACGUCAGAUCAUCAUGCCCCUUAUGACCUGGGCUACACACGUGCUACAAUGGACGGUACAACGAGUCGCGAACUCGCGAGGGCAAGCAAAUCUCUUAAAACCGUUCUCAGUUCGGACUGCAGGCUGCAACUCGCCUGCACGAAGUCGGAAUCGCUAGUAAUCGCGGAUCAGCAUGCCGCGGUGAAUACGUUCCCGGGCCUUGUACACACCGCCCGUCANANNRUGAGAGUUYGUAACACCCAAAGUCGGURGGGU